rnacentral:rRNA from 1 species
UACAGAGGUCCCGAGCGUUGUUCGGAUUCAUUGGGCGUAAAGGGUGCGUAGGCGGCGGGGCAAGUCUGAUGUGAAAUCCUGGGGCUCAACCCUGGAACUGCAUUGGAUACUGCCUUGCUAGAGUACUGGAGAGGAAACUGGAAUUUACGGUGUAGCAGUGAAAUGCGUAGCGAUCGUAAGGAAGACCAGUGGCGAAGGCGGAUCUCUGGGCCAUUACUGACGCUGAGGAGCGAAAGCGUGGGGAGCGAACAGG